rnacentral:rRNA from 1 species
GUAGUCUCGCACAGAUGCAUAUCAAUAAGCGGAGGAAAAGAAACUAACAAGGAUUCCCCUAGUAACGGCGAGUGAAGCGGGAAGAGCUCAAAUUUGAAAUCUUAAAGGGUUUCCCUUUACGAAUUGUAGUUUAAAGAAGUGUUUUCUGUUGAGGUUUUGGUAAAAGUUCUUUGGAAUAGGACAUCAUAGAGGGUGAGAAUCCCGUAUUUGACCUUUACUUUCAACUUUGUGAUACACUUUCAAAGAGUCGGAUUGUUUGGGAAUGCAGUCCAAAAUGGGUGGUAAAUUUCAUCUAAAGCUAAAUAUUGGCGAGAGACCGAUAGCGAACAAGUACCGUGAGGGAAAGAUGAAAAGAACUUUGAAAAGAGAGUUAAACAGUACGUGAAAUUGUCAAAAGGGAAGCGUUUGACACCAGUGUUGUUUUUCUGAAAAUCAAUUAAAGAACUGUUUAUGCUAAGCUGUUUAGACUUUAUCAGCUAACUGUUUAGUUUUGAGCUUUUCUUUAAUGCACUUUUCAGUUAACAAGUCAACAUCAAUUUCUUUUGCUGUAAAAAAGCUUAAGGAAGGUGGCUUGAGAUUCGUCUUAAGUGUUUAUAGCCUCUUGCCUAUGCAGUCGGAGAGAUUGAGGUCUGCAGCGUAGAUCCUUCGGGGCUAAAUGCAUUUGUGCUAAGUUAUAGCAUUUUAUAGACAACUUGUUGACUAUGAUUUGUCUUGUAGCUUACUCGCUUAUGUUAUUUUACCUACGCUUAGGAUGUUGAACUCUACAGAGAUA